AAGAAAAUGUUCAAGACUCAAGUGUCUUUUUUGAUAUUCUUUGGCUUUCUGGUCUUAAAUUUGUGUUACAAAAUAAGCCCAAUAGUUAAUGAUGAUCCUUUUGUGAAGCUUGGCAAAGGAUUAUACUAUAUAGAAACCAAACUGACGGUAAACUGGUUUGAGGCCAAUGACCGUUGUCAUGCGAUGGAUGCUCAGCUUAUAACUUUUGAAACAAUGGAAGAAUGGGCUAUGAUUAACAACUACUUGGCAGAUAACAGAAUUGAAGCCUUGUACUGGAUAUCAGGCACUGACUUGGCAAAAGAAAGUAGGCAUGUCUGGUCCUCAAAUGGUCAACCUAUAGCAUUAUGUGGGCUAUGGAGUCGGGGACAACCUGAUAAUUUUUUAGGUUAAGAACACUGUGAUGAUCUUGGUUUCAGGUUAACUGAAAAUGAUCGAAGAGGACUUAACGACGAACAAUGUACUGUCCAAAUCCGAUAUAUUUGUGAAAGACCUCAGCCCAAAAUUAUUUCAUUUAUAGUUUGGUAAUAUUUGAGCACUCAAAAAUAAAUUUGCAUUCAAUAAAAAU